AACUCUCGACAACGAAUAUCUAGGCUCUCACAUCGAUAAAGAAAGUAGCAAAAUGUGAUACUUAGUGUGAAUUUCAGAAUCUUGUGAAUCAACGAAUCUUUGAACACAAGUUGCACUUGAAGCCAUUAGGUCGAGAGCACACUUGUCUAGGUGUCA
rfam:Vitis vinifera, whole genome shotgun sequence of line PN40024, unoriented chromosome 11, chr11